GAUGAACGCUGGCGGCGUGCCUAAUACAUGCAAGUCGAGCGAGCAGACGAGGAGUUUGCUCCUCUGACGUUAUCGGCGGACGGGUGAGUAACACGUGGAUAACCUACCUAUAAGACUGGGAGAAUUACGGGAAACCGGCCCUAAUACCGGAUAAUAUAUUGGACCGGAUUGAUCAAUAGUUAAAGACGGUUUUGGUGUCACUUAUAGCCUAAUCAGCGCAGCAUUAGUUAGGUGGUAGGGUAGCUGCUUAGCCAGGCUACGAUGCGUAUCCGACCUGAGAGGGUGAUAGGCCAAACUGGAUCUGAGACACGGUCAAGAAUCCUACGAGAGGCAGCAGUAGCGAAUCUUGACCAAUGGGAGAAAGCCUGACGGAGAAACGCCGCGUGAGUGAUGAAGGUCUCCGGGUCGUAAAACUCUUUUAUUAGGGAAGAACAUAAGUCUCAGUAACCAUGCACGUCAUGAAGGUACCUAAUAAAAAAGCCCCGGCUAACCACGUG
rnacentral:rRNA from 1 species